GGUCCCUCUUGGGUGCUCACCUCUGAAGUCUAGUUACCGGAGUUCCUUGUGAGGGUGAUCCUUCAGUUUUAACAUGGUAUGGACAAGACACUGCUGACGGGAAUGGACUUCAAAAGAAAAGAACAAGACAAGGGAUCAGGAAUCUCCCUGCUAGAUACAGUGGAAACAUCUUGCUUUAACAGGUAUUGGAUCCCACUUCAAAUAAAAAACAAUGUAUAUCUUUAAGAAUAAUACCUAUACAGUUCAUCUUGUAUAAGGACUAAACACACGGAAUAGCGCCGGGUAACCACGGUAACAAGGAUAUGCGUCACAGGAAGUGACGCGACGGAGUAUUAGAAAGAUCACCGGGUUACCAUGGAAACCAAGAAGCGAUACGUAAGGAGAAGGGUAACGAGUUUACAGGACAUACACAGGGAGGACCAGGCAACACGUAAAGAACGGGAAGCGCGUCACUGGAAGUGACGUGACGGGAGGAGAACACGGCCCGGGUUGCCAUGGAAACCGGAUGAUACACAUAGUCACAGCCAAUAGGGAGCAGCACAGCACGGGACCAUGGGACGUAUAGAUGAUUUCUGUAUAGGGUCCACCUGUGUUCCUUGGCAAGUGAUUGGACAGUGACCAUUUAAAUAUGCUGGGAAUGGGAGAGUUAUUCAUUCACCAGGAUACCUUGAAAAAGACCCCAGAUUGGGGUGGAAAUGCGUCGGUAGCCUCCAGAUGUGAAGGGAACGCGGAGUUUGAAACCUGGUGACCAGAGCGGUUUAUUGAUUGGACUAGUGUUGGUCUAUAUCAACCAUUCAUGCGCUGUUUGGGACUGUUUGGCCACAGUUCCAUUCAUCUCCGGUAAUUUCUCUGCAUUUACCUUGCACCAGGAGUUCAAUUGGUGUUUUAUUUUAACUCAUUAUUGUAUACACAGCAUUUUAUUGUAACUUUUAGAAUUUGUAUUAAAACAGACUUCACUAUUA